UACGUAGGGGGCAAGCGUUAUCCGGAUUUACUGGGUGUAAAGGGAGCGCAGACGGUGUGUCAAGUCUGAUGUGAAAGGCUGGGGCUUAACCCCGGGACUGCAUUGGAAACUGGCGUACUGGAGUGCCGGAGGGGCAAGCGGAAUUCCUGGUGUAGCGGUGAAAUGCGUAGAUAUCAGGAGGAACACCGGUGGCGAAGGCGGCUUGCUGGACGGUAACUGACGUUGAGGCUCGAAAGCGUGGGGAG
rnacentral:rRNA from 1 species